GAUGAACGCUGGCGGCGUGCCUAAUACAUGCAAGUCGAGCGAACAGAUGAGGAGCUUGCUCCUCUGACGUUAGCGGCGGACGGGUGAGUAACACGUGGAUAACCUACCUAUAAGACUGGGAUAACUUCGGGAAACCGGAGCUAAUACCGGAUAAUAUAUUGAACCGCAUGGUUCAAUAGUGAAAGACGGUUUUGCUGUCACUUAUAGAUGGAUCCGCGCCGCAUUAGCUAGUUGGUAAGGUAACGGCUUACCAAGGCAACGAUGCGUAGCCGACCUGAGAGGGUGAUAGGCCACAUUGGAACUGAGACACGGACCAGACGCCUACGGGAGGCAGCAGUAGGGAAGCUUCCGCAAUGGGCGAAAGCCUGACGGAGCAACGCCGCGUGAGUGAUGAAGGUCUUCGGAUCGUAAAACUCUGUUAUUAGGGAAGAACAAAUGUGUAAGUAACUAUGCACGUCUUGACGGUACCUAAUCAGAAAGCCACGGCUAACUACGUG
rnacentral:rRNA from 1 species